CCCUUAGAUGUUCUGGGCUGCACGCGUGCUACACUGAUAUUGCCAAUAUGUCAUUCUUAUCCGAAAUGGAUUGGGUAAUCAAGUAAUGAAAUUUCAUGCUUGGAAUCGGUAAUUGCAAUUUUAUCGUGAACGAGGAAUUCCUAGUAAGCACAAGUCAUCAGCUUGUGUUGAUUACGUCCCUGCCCUUUGUACACACCGCCCGUCGCUCCUACCGAUUGAAUGUUCCGGUGAGCUCUUCGGACUGCGCGGUCUGCAGUUUCUGCGUUCCGUGCGGAAAGUUGCGCAAACCUUAACAUUUAGAGGAAGGAGAAGUCGUAACA
rnacentral:rRNA from 1 species